rnacentral:rRNA from 1 species
UACGGAAGGGGGCUAGCGUUGCUCGGAAUCACUGGGCGUAAAGGGUGCGUAGGCGGCGCGGUAAGUCGGGUGUGAAAUCUUGGAGCUUAACUCCGAAACUGCAUUCGAUACUGCCGUGCUUGAGGACUGGAGAGGAGACUGGAAUUUACGGUGUAGCGGUGAAAUGCGUAGAUAUCGUAAGGAAGACCAGUGGCGAAGGCGGGUCUCUGGCCCGAUACUGACGUGGAGGCACGAAAGCGUGGGGAGCAAACAGG